rnacentral:lncRNA from 10 species
GGCAACUCGCUGGGGUCCCCUUCCACCCUUUGAAAACUUUGUUCUUUGGUUCUUUGCAAUAAAUGUUGCUGCUGCUCACUCUUCGGGUCUGCACUGGCUUUAUGAGCUGUAACACUCACUGCGAAGGUCUGCAGCUUCACUCCUGGAGCCAGUGAGACCCCGAGCCCACCGGGAGGACCGAAGAACUUCAGAUGCGCCGCGUUAAGAGCUGUAACACUCACCGCGAAGGUCUGCAGCUUCACUCCUGAGCCAGCGAGACCACGAACCCACCAGAAGGAAGAAACUCGGAACACAUCCGAAUAUCAGUAGGAACAAACUCCGGACACGCCGCUUUUAAGAACUGUAACACUCACCUCGAGGGUCCGCGGCUUCAUUCUUGAAGUCAGGGAGACCAAGAACCCCCCAAUUCCGGACACAGGGGGACUUGGCUGCUUCCUGUUUCUAUCAUAGACGCAGCUGGCCUCAGAAUAUUCCACUUAUGGAUGAAAGAAUGAUAGUGUUAUUUUAUGGAAGAAUUUAAGAAGAUGUUGCGGUAUCAUCGACUUUAUUUUUUGUUCAUUCUGAAAAUCACAUCGCCAGAUCCAACACCUUUUUAUCCCAAUCACCAGUACAAGCCACCCGUAUCAGUGUACACUGUGGCUGACCGAUCCAUAGUGAUGCUUUGAGGUAGUCGUACAGUGUCCAGAAGGCAAAAGGACAAGUAUGCACUGCCCUACUUACCUACUUUCCACACUGCUGCACAGGAAAAUCUGACAGAGGACAAUAACAAACAUCUCACCAGCUCAUGCGUUCUUUUUUGAUCCUAAUUCCGAGAGACUCACCAAAGACAUGAAGAGAAAACAAACAAUACUUUUCUUGGAAAUAUUGUAAUUGCUGGUACAUUUGUUGUUCUGGCAUAAAGUAGAAAUUGUCAGUUACCAGAACAAUACUCAGUGAACUUAUGAAUAUAUGGUAAAUAUUAAACACAUCCCACUUGGAUGAGAAGAUAUGUGAGUCGAUGAGUAUAGCUAAGUCUAAAGUUAGAUGUGUUCCAUAAACAUAGUGUUUAUGGAGUUGGUGCAUAUUCACUUCUCAGUAAGUUACACUUUCUUAAUUUCUUUUUGGUGCUAGGUGAUAUUCUGCUAAGUACACAUAAGUAUAGUAAUAUUGGUUAGUAAACUAGUAAAAUGCUCCCCUAGCUAUUAGUAAAUAGCUUCUGCCUUGUGUCUCCAAAAUAUCUCUACCAUUAUCCUGAUCUUGAUUGCUAUUUUAUAUUAAAAGAAGACAUGUGAAUGUAUAUGAACAUUUAAAAAAAUUGUUAUUUCUUAUUUACCUUUAAAAAUACAGUGUGCUGUACUAGUACUACUACUAAUAAAUAGCAUCAUUGACUCAUAGAUCACUUACUAUCAGCCAGGCAGUCCUAAGUAUUCCACUUACAUUAACUCACUUAAUGCAUGCAACAAUGCUAUGAGGCACUAUUUUUAUCAUUUGCAUAUUUACAUAUAAGGAAACAGAGACACUAAUAUUAAGUAGUAAGAGACAUAAAUGGGAGUCGAAGUUCCAUAGUCUAUUAAUAGUUUUGGAGUUCAGGAUAGUCUCUAUUACUCUAACCUACCUCAUUAAGCAGCAUCCUUGACUAUUCUAGGUAAAGAGUAUUGUAUUCUUUUCUAAGAUAAAAACAUGACUUGCUACUAUAUUUGUUUGGAUUCAGCUUUACUGGAACACAGCUUAGCUUUGACAUUUACAGACAUGGGUUAGGUUUCAUUUUGUUGCAAGAUAAAAGGCAAUCUGAUAUUUAGUUUACCUGCAAAAGGCAGUUAGGAAGCCCUAGAGGAACCUAAUUAAAAUGCAGCACAUUUCCAAGGCACCAUAUCUUGCUGUGUUGCCAUAGAAACAACGAGGAUUUCUGGUCACUGACCUUCCAGGGAAUCUGAGGAUGUAUUUUCAUAAGGUUCAUAAGAGAAGCCAUCCUAGUAUGUUAACCUAUAGUUGCAGAUCAACUAUACGUUAUGGAAAUUCCCUAUGCAAUUCUAGCCAAUUUUAAAACCAAAUUAUACUAGCAAAACUUACUAGAGGCUCAAACUAAGGGCUCUUUGAAGGAAUGUGGUUUAACUGCUUCCAAUAUAAGAUUUCAAAUAAUUAAGGAUACUGUAGUAGCAGCAAAAACAUUAAAGAAAAGCUUAGGUAAUUACACAAAGAACAUUGGAACUAAAAUCAUAUUUAGGAAUAGUUUCAAUGUUAUAUCUAUUCUAUUGCAUUUUGGGUUCUUCAAUUCUAGGCUUACUCAAAGGAUAAAACGAACAUUACUGCAUCAAUCAACUACACCUAGAAAAUCAAACUUUAUUAUACAAUAUUAAGUUGCUAAUAUUAUUUAUACCUAUAGAUUCUUAAUUCAUGCCCUUUACUAUCUAUUUAUAAAUUCAUUCAUUCCAUUACUAAAUAUGUAUAAUUGACAAUCCCAGUUAUACCUUAAUUUAUAUUUUUUUGUCUAUUUGACAUAAGCCAAGUACCCAUGCCAUGAUUCAACACAGAAAAUUACAAAGCCCACCUUACUGUAGACUGCUGCUCUUAUUGCAUCAACAUUCGUAUCUUCCACGGAAAAUAAUUAACUUAGUUCUAUAAUCAGGAUAUGCCCGGUUUAUUUACAAGGAAAUACCUAUCAGGUGCUAAUUUCUCUUAGAAUUAGAAAUCUUGGCCAGGCAUGGUGGCUCACACCUGUAAUCCCAGCACUUUGGGAGGCCGAGGUAGGUGGAUUACCUGAGGUCAGGAGUUUGAGACCAGCCUGGCCAACGUGGUGAACCCUGUCUCUACUAAAAAUACAAAAAUUAGUCGGGCUAAGGUGGUGUGUUCCUGUAAUCCCACCUACUCGAGAGGCUGAGGCAGGAGAAUCGCUUGAACCUGGGAGGCGGAGGUUGCAGUGAACUGAGAUUGUGCCAUUGCACUCCAGCCUAGGUGGCAAGAGCAAGACUCCAUCUCAAAAAAAAAAAAAAAGAAAUCUCUCUAUAUGUAUCUAUAGAUAUAGAUAUGUUUAUAGAUAUAUAGAUAUACAGAGACAUAUAUAUAGAGAUGAGAGAUAUGUGUACACAUAUAUAUAGAUACACAUUUUGUGUGUGUUUGUGUGUGUGUGUGUGUGUAUAUGUUUGUCUUCAGGCACCUGAAGAAAAACAGAUGUACUAGCAAAACUUACUAAAGGCUCAAACUCUAGUAAAUUUUCUUUAGGUACCUGAAGAAAAACAAAUAUCUAAUUAUUAUACCUAGAAAAGUGGGGCUAUCACCCCAUUUCCUAGACUUCUGGAAGUUUUCUUAAAUAGCUGUGUGUCCUCACUCUGACACUAUGUGGCCAAGGGGCUGAGAGCACAGACUGUGGUGCUGUAAUGUUGGGCCUCUUGGCUCUGCCGCUUACUAGCUGUGUGGCCGUGGGAAAGUUAUCUAGCCUGUGGGUGCCUCCUUUGGCUUAUGUGUAAAAUUAGAAUCAUAAUGGAACCUAUUAAGGUUGUUUUGAGAAUUAAAUGACUUAAUAUUGAUAAAUCACUUACAUCUAUAUUUGACACAUAAUAAUUUGUCUAAAGUAUAGCCAAUAACAGGGACAGAGCUCAUAUGAAAAUGUCAGCCCUGUUGCACUCUUGCCCUGCCCAAGACAGAAAGAACAAAGUGGGAUGAACACAUUUCAGAUGAAACACAGAGUUCCAUUAGUGUGUGGACAGAGGCAGUCUGUCAGGUUUACAGAUUUGAAAAGAAAAUGUGUUUUCUUCCUCAGUAUGGAUUUAGACAGCACUGUCUUUGAGAAUUAAUAGUUGUCUUUGAGAUGUGUGAAUGCAUGAGUGUGUUUGUUUUAAUCUAGUAGUGAAAAGGAAACGCUGUUUUUCUUUCUAUACACUCACUCACAACACUCAAUAUUUCCGGAACACAAUAUUUCCGGUUCAUUUCUGACACCACAUGUGUGUGUGGGGUGUGUUUUCUACACCAAGCAAUUCUCCCAUUCUUUGUGGCUACCAACUGGGUGUCCCGUAAUUCAAAUCGGACACUAUCUACCUGGAGUUAGCAUUGACCCACAGGUUAAGGACUCAGUUUUACAAGAUUUUUCCCCUUCCCACUGAAGAUGACAAUCACAAGCAAUGAGUCCUCAUGUUACUCAUAGCUUCUGUUUGACUUGUCUACAAAUCCAAGGUCUCCACGGCCCUCUCCUCAGGUUUGAUAAUUUGCUAGUGUGAUUCACAGACUUCAGGAAAACAGUUUGCUUACUAGAUUACCAGUUUGUUAUAAAAGGAUACAACUCAGGAACAGCCAGAUGGAAGAGAUGCACAGGGAAAGGUAUGGGGGAGGCGUGGGGAGCUUGCAUGCCUUCUCUGGACACACCACAAUUCCCAGCACCUCUGCAUGUUCACCUAUUUCAAAGCACUCUGAAUCCUGUCUUUUAGGGAUUUUUAUGGAGUCUUCAUCAUGGAAGCAUUGUUGCUUAUUAACUCAAUCUCCAGCUCCUCUUCUCUCCCGUCCCCAGAAGAUGUGAAUGGGGCCAAAAGCUUCAAGCUUCUUAUCAUGGCUUGACCUUUCUGGUGACCAGCCCCCAUCCAGGAACCCAGCAAGAGUCACUUCAUUAGAAGAGAAGAUGCUACUCUCACCCAGGGACUAAGGAGCUCUGUCAGAAAGCAGAGUCAAAGACCAAAUAUUAGAACAAAAGAUGACCCUAGCACCCCUACUACUCAGGAAAUUACAAGGGUUUUAGGAGCUCUUUGUAAGAACUGGAGGCAGAAACCAAAUACAUAUUUUCAUAUAUGUAUAUAUUUAUUAUGUCACAAAUAGCUACAUACUGGAUAAGCCAGAAAGAUGAGGAAACAUGUUUGCAUCUCACACUAGUGCAGAGAUUCUGAAAAAGACCCCACUUGGAAUACCAAACCACACAUUAGAUUGUUCUGUUCCCAAUUGUGUGCCAAAGUGCACUCUGAACUGUUUUGGUAAAGCCGACCGUGGAGUCAUAUGAGGCUGAAUAACUUGGGAGAAUGUAAGUCUGCAAAAUAAACCUAGGACUGGAUUGAUCCUCAGGCCACUUGGCAGGUGAAUGUCUCGGGAGUGAAUAUGAGACAAGCUUCCUGAAAAGGCUUAUAUGACUUAAAGAACUUUUUGUUUAAGUGUUUGGUCCCAAAUAAACUAUUAAGAUAUAUAAAGUAAUUCACUGCUCAAAAAUUACCGUCAGAUAAAUAUUAAGGGAAGAAACACUUUAAAGGAGAAUUUGUAUCCACAUAAAUCCUUAAAUUCAUGGUCACAACUUUCCUAAUCUCAAAUUGUUCUAGGUCACUGCUAUCAGUCUAGUUCUGUCCUCUAUUUCUUAAUUUAAUACCAAUACUUUUAAAUUUUUAAAAUAUGCUGCUUUAGGUAGAUUUAAAAUAUAUCCUAACCGCCACUUUCUAACCUUCCUGAAAUAUACUGUUCAAUAACAAAUCCUUUCCUUGCUUAAACAUAACUUAAAUAAAACAAGAAACUUACCAUUUCUCUCUAGUGUAAGAUGACACAUGCAGCUUAGCACUCUGUAGUAGUCUCUCUUCAAUUAGGUAAAAAAGGAAGUUUCUAUGGUAACCAUCCUUAUAGUCACUCAUUCCUCCUUCCUUCCUCACCAGCGCCCAAUAUAUAUCACAUUACUCAUGAAUACAUAUAAACUGCUAGCAUGUCUAGAAUAUUCUGUCUUGAAAUUAUACUUUCUACUAGUGACUUUUAGAAAUGACUAUGCCCCAGAAUAAUUAAAAAGAGAAACCAAAUAAUUUUUAAAUUAAUUUAUACAGAGUUUUUCACCAUCAAGUUUAUUUUCAGCACCCAUGGGGAGUUAAUAGAUCUUCCCUGAAAGAGAAAAACCUUUCCUAAGGAAAAAUCCUAGAAUUCAUAUAUUUGGCAACAUUUAAAGGAGGCCAUGAAAUUUUUAUCAGUCUAGAGAAUUGAUCUCCUUUAAGGUGACUCUGGUAGUUCCAACGAUGUUUAAAGGCAUUUCCUGUAAAAAAAAAAAAAAAAAGAGAGCGAGAGAAAAAGAGAGAGAGAGAGAGAGAAUUUCUGAUGAUUAAAAAAAAAAAGUGAGGAAUGCUGAGUUAAACAAAGUUAACCACAUUCUCUCAGAGCCUUGAAUGUGCUAAUAUGUGCUAAUGUGUCUUAUGGCUCUCUAAGGAGGGUGUAGUCAAAAUCAUCUUCUACACUGCUUAGUUCCCGGGAACCCACUUUUUUUUUUUUUUUAUUCAUGGUCGAAUAUUAUUUAUUGUCAGAAAGGUACAGCAUUCACACCAAUAUCAGACAAAAUAGAUUUUAACUAAAAAAUUAUUUCGAGACAAAAAUAACAAUAUAUGUUAAUAAAAGGCUCAAUUAAAAAUGUAUAACAAUUAUAAACACAUACACAUCAAACAACAGUUCCCCAAAAUACGUAAAGCAAACAUUGACAGGAUUGAAGGGAGAAAUAGACCACUCUACAAUAGUAGUUGGGGUCUUCAACACCCCACUUUCAAUAAUUAAUCACAGCCACUUAAGGAACCAGUGCAUACCAAAACACACUUCUGGCAGUGUUGCUUCAGGGAAUUCCGAGUGUAGGGUUAAUGUUCCAUUUUCUCUACCUCUUCUAAAAUUCCUCCUUCUUCAAAUGGCUAUUAAUAACUUUAUAUUUUUGUCCUUUGUGUCAGUUCUUAAUUCAUGUUGCUUAUAAGCAUGAUUUUUAUUAUUAAAGUGAGAUGGGAUAAAAAUAAAAUAUUUUUGCAAUGAGAUAACGUUUUAUUUUAAUUCUCACCAUUUAUAUACAAACACAAGUGAAUAAAACACAUCGCAAAAUGGUAAAAUUUCAUAUUUAGUAUUUAUAGGUGCAUAGUUUCAUGCUCACAUAUUUUUAAGUAUUAUAUAUAUUAACAAAUUUCACAAUACGUCAUUAUUCUUAGACAGUAUCAUUAAAAGACACCUAAAAAUCUUAUAAUAUAUGAUAGCAAAUCACUAACAACUUCUGAACAACAGCAACAAAAAAAUAGUGAGGAUUUAGAAAUAAGUGGUAGUCACUUAGGUGUUUUUAAUUUGUUUUAACAUCGUAGAUUGAAGCCACAAAAUCCACAGCACACAAAGACCCUGCUACCAUGUAUUCACUUCAGUGAAAGGGAAGCACCGAAAUGCUGAGUGGGGGCAGGUACAGAUACUUCAAUCACUGCUGAUGGAAGACUUCGAGAUACACUGUAAAAACUUUGAGAAAUGUCAUGACUGGGCACAUUGGAACUGAGCACUUGUACAGGAUGGAACAUCUGUCAGCAGAUCUCAAGAAACUGGGAGCAAAGAUAUUUCUUAGGCUUCAGAAUUUACCAGUGAUGCCAUCUCGGCCUGGGAUUUUCUUUGCAGUUACCUAGAAAAUGUUUUCUCUGAAAACCUCUAUCCAUGCCUCAACAGAUCGGAGAUAAAAAAGGAAUCAUCUUACAAGAUUAUCAAGAAAGAUAAUGGGCUAGGUGUAUCCUUAAAAGUCCCCUCCCUUCAACAAUUAUAUACAGUACACUAUUUGUUGGAAGCUCAGGAGAAAAAGGGCAUUUAAGAGCAUGAGAUUUGGUGGCAGACUGACCUAAUAGUAGAUGGUACCAGUGAGAUCUUGAGCAACGUAAAUGUUUCAACUGAAAAACGAAAACCUUUUUUUGGAAAGAAUCGAAACUAAAAACCCAACUAUUUAAAAAAUGGAAACUUUUGGCCGGGAACGGAGGCUCACACCUAUAAUCUCAGCACUUUGGGAGGCCGAAUGGGCGGAUCACAAGGUCAAGAGAUUGAGACCAUCCUGGCCAACGUGGUGAAACUCCGUCUCUACUAAAAAUACAAAAGUUAGCUGGGCAUGGUGGCACAUGCCUGUAGUCCCAGCUACUCGGGAGGCUGAGGCAGAAGAAUCGCUGGAACCCAGGAGGCGGAGGUUGCAGUGAGCCGAGACAGCACCACUGCACUCCAGACUGGCGACAGAGUGAGACUCCAUCUAAAAAAAAAAAAAAGGAACCUUUUGCCUUACUUCGUUUGCUAGCUACAUUCAAGUCUGCAAUUAAGCUCGGUGUUUUGCCUUUCUCAAACUGUGCACAGGUCCUCUUGUUUGUUCCCCUUCUCUCUGUUGCCUAGGAAUACAGCCAAAAACUUGAGUAAUAGAUGAUAGAUGGGUCUGUCACUAAGCACAUCCUAGUGACAUAGAUAAGAAGCAAAUGCUACAAAAUUAUAGGUGCAAACUACAAGUUGUGUUUUAAUUGGUUUUAACAAGUACUUAUAAGCAGAAGAACUGUGAAAAAUCUAACAUUUUGUCCUACUUGCAAGCCUGCCAGUCUUUUGAGUGCUGGGCAAAGACACAAUAGUGCUGGGUCAGAGACAAUUAACUUUACUACUCACAUUAAUAGCAUUAGCAAGAGUAUCAUGAUUUUCUUGCACUGAUUCCUCAAGCCGCAAUUCCCACAGAAAAGCUCAGGUGACACCUACAUGCUCAGUGGGUUGCAUUAGAAAAGAGGAACGCAGAGCUCAGGAAACAUGGAUAUUUUAUAAUGGCCAGUAAAGAUGUCCCUUUGCUUUAGAAAGAGGCACUACCUCUAUCCAAGGCUGCAAGCACACCUGCCUUUUGUUUUAGAAGGAGAAAUGAUUUCUAUCUUCCAAGGCUGUUCACUAUAUGAAAAGACAGUCCCAAACAAAAGGCAGUUACUGACUUGCUUGAAAAAUGUGCAGAAAUGAUACGCUGCUUGAAUGUGGACAGCUGACACAGGGACAAGGAGUAAAAAUGAUUAGGUUUUGAGCUUGACCAACUAGGAAGAUAAUUAUUAGCAGUAGAGAAAAAAAGAACAAAGUAGAUUUUAGGGCAGAUAAGCCAUUUUUUAGGUAGGUUGAGUCUGAGAUGCCUCCAUAAAUAUAAGUUGAAAAUAUGAGAUUGGAGUUGAGACUUCAGAAAUACAUAUUUUGAGUAGUUACACUACAGAGGUAAGUCAUCAGAGUUCAUAAAAUUAAAGUGAGAAAAAGAGGCAAGUGAAGAAAAACAAGAUGGCAUUGCAUGAAGAACUUUCUUAGGAAGGAAGGCAGCAAAGAGGUAAAAUUGGAGGUGUAGUCAGAGAUGGAAGAUGAAAAAGGAAAAUAACAAUAUUUCAGAAAUGAAAUGAAAAAGGUCUUUUACUAAGUAAUUGGUACUACUACUUGUCAGUUUCAAGUGCUGUAAAAAAAAUGGGAAGAACCACACAUGUGCACUUUCAGUACUAUGUAUUUUAUGCUUCAGGGAUGCAUACCUGUUUAACAAAAGUAUGUUUUUUCUCAAAGUGUGUUGAAUAGUCCAGAAAAAGAUGGAGGUAGAAGUCAGACUUCAGGAGAUAAAGGAACCAGAAAGAUCAUUGAAGGCUGUGAUGGUAGAAAACAUUUUGACAAAGAGUUGUGCAAUGAGAAAGCUAGGGGUGGGACAAUUAAUUUUGAGGGUAACAAUUGGGGAUUUGAGUAGAUUUUUUGCUUCUGUUCUUUAAUUGUUUUGUCUUCUUUUUAAAGAAACCAAGAGACUGUUAAUGUAGUAGGAGCAGAGUUUCACAAUACAGAGCAGAGAGGGUGUUGGUUGAUAAAGAAUUGUCUCAAAUGAGAGGAAAAGAAUGGAGCCAAUAACAGAGAUGAUGUUUAAUUUGGGAAAGGUGGGACAUGUUAACAUGAGUCCAGAGAACUAAAAUGAGCUUAUGGCAUGCAGAUGCUGAAGAUGAAGAAAGGAAAGGAAGGAAAAGGAGGAAUUUAUAUUUAUUUAUUGAAUAAUCUUGUAAAACUGUUAAUCACCCCUUUUUACUGACGAUAAGACAUAAAUGUCAGAGGUGUUUUGCCUAAAGUAAAAAAUUCGAUAGUCAAGCUGGGUUUAAAACCAUAUCAGUCUUACGUCAAAGCAUGUUUUAAUUGCUGUUGUGUGGUUGUGAUUUUAAGGGAAGAAGAAGAGUUUUAUAAUGGGUUCUCUGAAAAAUAAAAUAUCAAUUAGAAAGAAACAAAACAACUGCUGAGAAGCAGUGAAUCCAAGCAGAAUCUGAGUAUCAUCACUUUUUAGUUAAACUAACCAGUCCAAUAUCCUGAUUUUUCUUUAACAGGCAAAGAAUUUUUGAGUCUUUCCCAUAGACUGAGUUCUUGUGAACUAUUUUACAGCAAUAAUGGCAUCCAAUCCUAUAGAUAACAAUAACAAAGCUGCAGACCAUUUUGUUGCCAGGUUUCUCCUCCAGGGUGGCUUUCCAGCUAGUUUGUAAACAAAUAACUCAGGUGGCCCUGUCAUGUUACAUUAACUAAAAACCAAGUCUAAAGCACACAUAUAAUAACAUAUGUGUGUGCAAACUGGCUUGCUUUCAAAUUCCUAAAUCAUACAAUUAAAUUUUAAAAAUAACUGUAUUUGGAAACAAGAAAAAAGUCACUUUGACACCCAACUGAUGUAUAUAAAGGAGACUGUGCAUAUGGGUUUUAAAAUGAGAUGAAAAUUGAAAUUUGAUCUUUGAGAUUAAAAACAAUGUUAUGUAAAUCUAUUUUUAUUUAAUUUUUCUGAAAAAUAUUGUAUUUGCUUUAUACCCUCUUGCUAUACAAACUUAUAUUGUUUUGCUUACCCUCUUUUUUUAUUCCUCCUACUUUUUCUUAAUUUUGAUAUCUCUGAAUUUAAAGUCUAGAGAAUGAUUCAUCUUCACUAGUUCUAUCUUUUCCAGUGCUAGUAUUUUUGUUUUUGAGCUGUGGUUUCCCUAUCCCAUUUUUGAGAUCUCAAACUAUAAUUUGGUGUCGAGUACCCAGGUAUCUUAUCUUUAAAGUGAAGACGUAGGCAGCACAAAGGUGCUUUUAUUAGAACGUCCACUAGAUCAGAAUGACCAGUGCACAAAAUUUAUUUUCCUAGCAGACUCACCAAAUUUAACCUGGAAGAGAAUGUCUGACUCUGUUGAAUUUUCUUAGGCAAAUACAAUAUUUGAAAGUCACUGAAUGUUUCAAACAAAAUAUAACAACAUUCAGAUAACAGAACUGUGUUAUUGUUCUCAUGUGUUUAUGCCCAGAAAAUAAGCAGACUGGAGCUUCUCUAAGAUUAAAAGUCAAAACAGUAUUACAAUUCCAGCCCAGAUUUGACUAUCUAAUCAUUUAAACCUUAGUAUCAUCAUCAUCACCACCGUCACUGCAUACUCAUUAAGUUAAAAAAAAUUCCUUUAAAAUAAAUGGAAAAGAAAAUAUCUGUGUAAAUAGAUUAAAGCGAUUCCUGCUCACCACUCCCUUUCUCCCUGGGGCAGGAGACUUGAGCACAUCAAAGGAACUCAUAGCGUUCUUGGAGUAAGUGUGAAAGCCACCGUGAUGAACUAAAUGAAUGCUUACAUCUAAAGAAAGAUGUAAACAUAUUACAUUAAAAGGUGGCAUGACAUAAUGGUAUAUCACUGAUUAAGAAAUGUGAGGCGACUUUCAUGUGCCACUGAUAAAUCAUUAUAAUUUGACAUAGUAGAUAAUGCCCCUAUAUUUCAUCUGCAUACCUGGAAAAUGAGGACUUUCAAAACAUAUUCCUGCCAGUUACAGUCAGGUAUUGCAAAACAAGCAUUUAGUGAGCAUCUAAACUGAAGCUUAGAACUUCAGUUUUGUGGCGGGGCGCGGUGGCUCACGCCUGUAAUCCCAGCACCUUGGGAGGCCAAGACAGGCGGAUCACUUGAGGUCAGGAGUUUGGGACCAGCCUGGCCCACAUGGUGAAACCCCAUCUCUACUAAAAAUACAAAAAUUAGCCAGGCAUGGUUGCACGCACCUGUAGUCCCAGUUACUCAGGUGGCUGAGGCAGAAGAAUCGCUUGAACCUGGGUGGUGGAGAUUGCAGUGAGCUGAGAUCCUGCCACUGCACUCCAGCCUGGGCAAGAGAGUGAGACUCCAUCUCAAAAAAAUAAAGAACUCCAAUUUUAUUUUCUUCAUGGCAUAGCAUAAUAGAUGAGUUAACAAAUUAAUGAAACAGAUUGACAUGUGUUAAUUGCAAUCAUAUACAGAACAGAAAUCAUUUCCAUAAAAUAUUUAACCUGCCUGUUACUUCCCCUAAAUCUCUCUGUAGCUGAUGCCCCAAUUUCACUAUUAGCUCUUCAGACUUGGAUGUUAAGCACUGUGCCUUCCCCUGGACCUCUCUUUAAAUGUCACAGCUAUUUCUGGCAGGUAAGACUAUUGCUUUGGUUAGUGUGAACACACACCACUGUGGAUCACAAGGCACCUGAGAGAAAAGGCUGCCGAAAGCAGGAAAAUAACUCAGAAAAAAGAAAAAAAAACACAUGGUGCUGAAAAAUACAACAGAUAUGCAUUUGUAUACUUAUGAUCUAAUUUAUGUCAGUCAUUAAAAGAAAAUAAGGUGUUUAGAAAAUACAGUGCUGUCUAUGGUUAUAUUUAAUAUUGUGACCACUUAAUACAAAGCAAAGCAUUCUUGCUUGCUCUCAUGGAGAGUGCAAUUUAGAAUUGAGAGCUCAAUUUCUAAGGAGGGUUUAUGUACUCUAUCUUGAGGCACACCAAGGAGAUUGAGUUUACCAGUUUAGAAAGCACUGCCAUAAUUCAAGUCAGGGAGAGGGCUGAUGGAAGAUUUUUAAAAGAUUUUAAAAGAUCAUGAGGGCAAGCUGGCUUUUAACAAAACAAAAUAUUUCCAUGUGGCUUCUGGCUGACUGAAUUAAUAAGGCCCAGAGACUGAUCUGAAGGCAAAAGCCUUUAUUUUUUAUUGCAAUGGAGAAAAACUGAACAUUAUUUGACUAUCAGUUGUGAAGUUUAGUAAAAAGAUUUUCACUAAUGGGUGGUUUUAAUAUUUAUGAAUGUGAUGGUUCAGCAAAUUUUCUCCAAUGUUUUGCAAGACCACUAAUUAAUAAUCAUCUUUACAAAUGGAACAUGUAAUUGUCUGCUACUAUUUUUUCUUUGCCAAUGCUUAAUACUUAUUUUGAAUACGUUUUAUUUUUUUUCUAAAUUUCUCUAUUUAUUUCUACCUGAGCAUUUCUUAAUUUUUUUAUUCAGUCCUGUUAUUCUCACUGUAGGAUUUUUAAAAGCUGGUAUAUUAUAUUAAAAUCCUUCAACUGUGAAUUCAGCAAUGUUUUGAGUUCCAGGGAUUCAUCUGGCAUUAGGCUGACCUUGUCAAGCAUAAACAUCAACAUUAAAGAAAAUAUUUAAGAAAUGAAAGGCCUGAAUCAAAAUAAGAGGUCAAAUUUUCCAGGGUGUUUUGUGUCUUGAAAAUCUUUCUGCUGUAAUUACCUAAAGACUGUGGUUAGAUAAUUAUUGAGGGACUUUUGCAAUUGUCCCUUUUCUCUAUAUAGAUCACCACAUUAAUUAAACGAGAGUCUCACUGGGAACAGGUUGCUGUUCUGCAUCUUUAAGUAUUUUUAGUACUUUAUUUUCAAAAGAGAAAAAGAACCACUAAGAAGAAGAUUGCUUCUCAGCCAAAUUUUCUGAUAUACAGAUAUUCUCAAAAGACAAGCACACACACACACGCACACACACACACACACACACACACACACACCCCCCAAGGCUCUGGAAUGUGCCUUAACAAUCUUAUUUUUGCACAUUUUAAAAGGAGGUCAUUAUGAAAUUUGCACAUAUUUUAUGACCUGUAAUGUACUUCUCUGAUCUGAUUUCACUUGAGCUAAUAAAAAAAUACAAAUCAGGUGCUUGCUGUGAUCAAGAUGCUAAAGUUAUAUUUACACUGCUUCAUAAAUGUAAGGUGUUAAAGCUUAGUGAGACAAGAAGUAAACUGAUAAUUGAUUAACCAGGGUGCUAUACAAAUCUACCUAGAGGGUGCCUUCCCAGGUUAAUGCAAUUAUGGGAGAAAGAUCCUGGCUCCUGGCUACAGAAAUGCCAACUAAAGUGUUAUCCACCCCAUCCUUCACUUUGGAGGAUGCGUUAAGAUGACACUGUGCUGUGUCAAAAUGAAAAUACAAACAAAAGCAAAUAAACCGAGUGAUAAUAAAUAAACCGAGUGACUCAGUUUCCUUAUCCAUUUUCCAGUUACCUUUUUUUUUUUAGGCCAGUCUGCAUGUCCACUAGAAGAAAAGGGACCUGGGUUCUUCAUCAGCCCAUCCUUAGAUCUUAGUGCACAUAUGCACCUAAUGAAGUCUCACUCUUAUCGCCGUAGCUAUAGUGCAAUGGCGCUGUCUCAGCUCACUGCAACCUCCGCCUCCUAGGUUAAAGCAAUUCUCCUGCCUCAGCCUCCGUAGUAGCUGGGAUUACAGGAUCCUGCCACCACACCCACUAAUUUUUGUAUUUUUGGUAGAGAAUGGGUUUCACCAUGUUGGACAGGCUGGUCAUGAACUCCUGACCUCAGUCGAUCCACCCGCCUUGGCCUCCCAAAGUGCUGGAUUACAGGUGUCCACCGCGCCUGGCCAAUAUUCAAGUUUACACAGGAAAAAGAAUACUUUCUCUGCAUAACCUUUACUUAUUUACUCAUAAGCCUCUAGUUCUCUCUGGAUUUGACUGUAAAUCUCAACACAUUUCCCAGAAACUAACAUCUUCUGGCUGACUUCUAUUAAAAAUUCAGACAAAGAAAAAAACUGAAUACAAUGGAGAGAGAUUAUAAUACUGCUAUUCUCCCAUUCUCUCUCUCUACAGCAUAUCACCUCCUCCAAAAUCAGUUCAUAUCUAACUCCUAGCACAUUUUUAGUUAAAAAUAUACAUGCACAAAAUAUAUGUGUAAAUACACAUGCUGAUAUCACACAUAUGUGUGUGUGUGUGUGUAUAUAUAUAUACACAAAAGCAGAUAUAUAUAUAUAUAUAUAUAUACACAAAAGCAGAUAUAUAUAUAUGCUUUCUUGCAGGUGAUAGAAUGCUUUUUUGGAGGUGGUUUUGUGGGCCUAUGUAAUGUCUCUAUUGUUAUAUUUUAAAAGUUUCUUUUUUGUUUGUUUGUUUGUUUGAGAUGGAGUCUCCCUCUGUAGCCCAGGCUGGAGUGCAGUGGCAGGAUCUCGGCUCACUGCAACCUCUGCCUCCCGGGUUCAAGUGACUCUCGUGCCUCAGCCUCCAGAGUAGCCAGGAUUACAGGCGCAUGCCACCACAUCCCACUUUUUUUUUUUUUUGUAUUUUUAGUAGAGACAAGGUUUCACCAUGUUGGCCAGGGUGGUCUCAAACUACUGAUCUCAAGUAAUUGGCCAGCCUUGGCGUCCCAAAGUGCAAGACUGCAGGCUUGAGCCACCACGCUCCACCAAAAGUUUCUUAGCACUCAUUCUCAUGAGAAAAAUUGCUGAAAACUUGGCAAUAAAGAAACAGAAUGACUACAUGUCCUUUAAAUGUUAUUUUUAAGGGGCUCAAUCAAUGACUAUGAAGUUAUCUAAGAUAAAACACCAGAUUUUGACAUUGCCAUUAACUUUUUUAUUAGAGCCCCCAGAUCUACAGGUUAUAUGUGCAGAUGUGCAGUGGCUGCUUUAUUUCCCUUUUCAAGAGCUUUUCUUAUACAGCAUCUAUCCACUCUCCUAUAGAGAUGAAGUUAACUCCCUUGACAACUAUCACUUGUCCCCAAUCCCCACCCUUCCACUUGACAUACAAACCCAAAGAGAUUCAUGCUCAUUUAUGCUCAGUAGAAAACAUAAUUCCAUAGGUUACUGCUAUUAUUAAUCAAAUAUUUACUAGAUUUAUAUCUAUUAGUCAAUUCUCUUUAGAAUUUCUUUGACUGUUUCUAUAAAUCUUUAUUCCUCAGAUAUUCCUUUAAACCAGUCUUACCAGCUUAUUGGCUCCACUACUAAUUAAUUAGUUGAAUAAAAUCUUUGAAAUGUGUUUAUGUUUGUAUAAAAACCAUCUUCUUUACUUUUCAAAAACUAUACUUGAGCACACUGUGAAAAGAUAAAUUGCUAGGUUCAACUGAGGAACUGAAUAAUUUUUUCCUCUUUUAGUUUUAACAUUCU